UUACAAUUGAGCAGAAAACAAACACCCAACUGAGUGGAAAACGUGGUUACAAUUUCAAAAUCCAUUUAUCAUCUCUUUUCAACAACUAAGAUCCCUUGAAGCUGUCCUCAGACAACCAUCACCUCUGGAUGUUCUACCACCACCAGACCUGCAGUAAUUCAGCUGAGUGUUUUUACAGGAGUUCAUCGUUGGUGCUGUUGUGGGGAAAUGACAUAGGGUAUAUCAUUCAAUAGUGUGUUUAUGUGAUACUUUUACUAUUUGCAAUCGAGUCAGCUUUAGCUAUCUUAUGCAUAUGUCUGCGUCUGUGUGAUGGGUUAACACAUUUGUAGUAGGCUACUGAGAUUAUUUAUUGAAAUGACCUUUGAACAGCAGUAAAUAUAGCAGAUUGUAACUUUAACAUAACACCUGUAAUGGAGACGAAGGGAGUCAGGAAGCAGGUGCAGGUGGUGAGUUUAACAUUAACAAACAUGGAGCGACACAAAACAAGAAUGGUGUCUGACAUGAAAACAGAACCAAUACAGCCUGGUAUACAAAAGCUACAGAGUACAGAGUACUAGAUAUAGGAAUAGUAAUCAGGGUAGUGAUUAAGUCCAGGUGUGUCUAAUGAUAGGGCGCAGGUGUUCUUUAUGAUGGGCUGCCAGGACCGGCGACGAGGAGCAGGAAUAGACGUGACAGUACACCGAUUAGAGGGAUGCCCCGAGGGCAAGGACGGGCCAGUCAGCAAAGGUAGAAAUCUUAGAUGUUGUAUCUCGAAUGUUGUCCAUCGGUACCCAACACCGCUCCUCUGGACCGUACCCCUCCCAGUCCACCAGGUACUGGAGCCAACCCCCACGAUGUCGGGAGUCCAGGAGGGAUCUGACGACAUAGGCGGGGCUUCCCUCGAUGUCCAGGGGAGGAGGACGGCUGUCGUGGUGGACGGCCUCAGUCAGGGGACCAAGAACCACCGGCCUGAGGAGGGAUCCGAUAGUUAGCGUGGAGCUGUAAUCUAAAUGUCACCUCAUUGACCCUCCAGAAGACCUUGGCAGGCAGAGUGGAAGGUUCCUGGUGGAGAGCCAGACACGAUCACCAAGAUGGAACACCGCCUCACUGCGGUGGCAAUCUGCCUGCUUCUUCUGACGGCGGACGGAACACUGGAGCCUCACUGCGGUGGCAAUCUGCCUGCUUCUUCUGACGGCGGACGGAACACUGGAGCCUCACGUGGGCAUCGUUCCAGAACUCUUCUGCUCGUUUCCAUAUUUUGUGAGGUAGUAUUCUGUAACGUAGACACAGGGAGUUAGGAAACAAGUGCAGUGUGACUUUAAGGAUAACCAAUACAAAACAAGAGAAGCUUCUAACAAAGAAACAAACAAUACUACCUGAUGCCUGACAGAACAAAGUGUUAGAUACAGUGGCUUGCAAAAGUAUUCACCCCCCUUGGCAUUUUUACUAUUUUGUUGCCUUACAACCUGGAAUUAAAAUAGAAUUUGGGGGUGGGGGUUGUAUCAUUUGAGUUACACAACAUGCCUACCACUUUGAAGAUGAAAAAUAUUUUUAAUUGUGAAACAAACAAGAAAUGAGACAAAAAAACAGAACUUGAGCGUGUAUAACUAUUCACCCCACCAAUGUCAAGAUUUUGUAGAGCCACCUUUUGCAGCAAAUACAGCUGCAAGUCUCUUGGGGUAUGUCUGUUUAUGCUUGGCACAUCUAGCCACUGGGAUUGUUGCCCAUUCAAGACAAAACUGCUCCAGUCCUUUCUAGUUGGAUGGGUUCCGCUGAUGUACAGCAAUCUUUAAGUCAUACCACAGAUUCUCAAUUGGAUUGAGGUCUGGGCUUUGACUAGGCCAUUCCAAGACAUUUAAAUGUUUCCCCUUAAACCACUUGAGUGUUGCUUUAGCAGUAUGCUUAGGGUCAUUGUCCUACUGAAAGGUGAACCUCCAUCCCAGUCUCAAAUCUCUGGAAGACUGAAACAGGUUCCCCUCAAUAAUUUCCCUGUAUUUAGCACCAUCCAUCAUUCCUUCAAUUCUGACUAGUUUCCCAGUCCCUGCCGAUGAAAAACAUCCCCACAGCAUGAUGCUGCCAGCACCAUGCUUCACUGUGAUAAGAGGUGUUGGGUUUCCGCCAGACAUAGCGUUUUCCUUGAUGGCCAAAAAUAUAAAUUUUAUUCUGACCAGAGUACCUUCUUCCAUAUGUUUGGGGAGUCUCCCACAUGCCUUUUUGUGAACACCAUAUGUGUUGGCUUAUGUUUUUCUAAAGCAAUGGCUUUUUUCUGGCCACUCUUCCGUAAAGCCCAGCUCUGUGGAGUGUAUGACUUGAAAUGGUCCUGUGGACAGAUACUCCAAUCUCCGCUGUGGAGCUUUGCAGCUCCUUCAGGGUUAUCUUUGGUCUCUUUGUUGCCUCCCUGAUUAAUGCCCUCCUUGCCUGGUCCGUGAGUUUGUGUGCGGCCCACUCUUGGCAGGUUUGUUGUGGUGCCAUAUUCUUUCAAUUUUUGAGGCGAAAUGCUCACCAACAGGGAUGUAAACAAAUUUGUGCACAAAAUUUGAGAGAUUCGCUUUGCAUUUCUGGGAUCUUUUAUUUCAGCCCAUGAAACAUGGGACCAGCACUUUACAGGUUGAGUUUAUAUUUUAUUCAGUAUAAAUACGCAGCACAUAUUCAGACCCCUUGACUUUUUCCACAUUUGUUAGGUUACAGCCUUAUUCUAAAAUUGAUUGAAUUGUUUUUUUGCCCUCAUCAAACUACACACAAUACCCAAAAAUGACAAAGCAAAAGCAGGUUUUUAGUUCACUUGAACUAAAAAUGUAUUACAAAUAAAAAACAUAUAUCAUAUUUACAUAAGUAUUCAGACCCUUCACUCAGUACUCUGAUGUCCUGAGCGCUCUGGAGCAGGUUUUUAUCAAGGACCUCUCUUUACUUUGCUCCAUUCAUCUUUGCCUCCAUCCUGACCAGUCUCCCAGUCCCUGACGCUGAACCCCCUUCUCCGUAGGGAUGGUGCCAGGUUUUCUGCAGACGUAAUGUUUGGCAUUCAGGCCAAAACAUUUAAUCUUGGUUUCAUCAGACCAGAGAAUAUUGUUUCUCAUGGUCUGAGAGUCUUUAGGUGCCUUUUGGCAAACUCCAAGUGGGCUGUCAUGUGCCUUUUACUGAAGAGUGGCUUCCGUCUGACCACUCUACAAUAAAGGCCUGAUUGGUGGAGUACUGCAGAGAUGGUUGUCCUUCUGCUCGGAAAUGCACUGUGAACUGUGGGACCUUAUAUAAACAGGUGUGUGCCUUUCCAAAUCAUGUCCAAUCAAUUACAUUUUCCACAGGUGGACUCCAAUCAAGUUGUAGAACCAUCUUAAGGAUUAUCAUUGGAAACAGGAUGCACCUGAGCUCAAUUUCGAGACUCAUAGCAAAGGGUCUGAAUACUUAUGUAAAUAAGGUGUUUGUUUUGUUUUAAAUACAUUUGCAACUAUUUUUUUUAAACAGUUUUUGCUUUGUCAUUAUGGGGUAUUGUGUGUAGAUGGAUGAGGGGAAAAAACAAUUUAAUAUAUUUUAGAAUAAGGCUGUAAUGUAACAAAAUGUGGGAAAAGUCAAGGGGUCUAUAUACUUUCCGAAGGAACUGUAGGCCUUCAAAUACACUAUAAAUAGCUACACUUUGAUAACACUUAGGUCCACUAACAUCAUCCUGUCUAAUGAUUCAUCCUUGUGUUCUGUUUCUACAGCCUCUCCCUCUCCAGCACACAACUAAGAUCUGCAGCUUCUAGUGAACCGUCUAAGAGGAAGACAAUUAACAAAGUCAGAUAUGGCAACUGCUGGAAACAGACGUAGCAAGGAUGUUGACCAUGAUAUGGGACUAAAGUCUUCCUCUGCUCUGAAAAGCCCAACUCCAAGCACGGAAACGAGUACUCAGUCAGACAUUCAUGAUACGGAUUCAAGUGAUGACAGUAUGGAUUCACCACCUUUUAUUGAUGUCUUCAUCAGAUGCUCGAAUCAACCUCAGGUCACUCCAUCAGAACAUCAGCUCAUACAUGAAUGCAUAAAUACAUAAAUGAUCUGAAAACAUUGGCAGAUGAAUUUACAAUGGCAGCUGAAAAGAUCGAAUCGGAGAAAAAUAAAAGAGGGUCUCCUUACAAGAGCAAGGAGGCUGUUGGAGCAUAUGUGGCUGGGGGAGUGUGCGCCACAGUGGGUUUACUUUUAGUCCCCUUGACAGGGUUUGCCUCUAUUGCCGGUGCAGGGGCAGGCAUCACGUUGACUAUUUUGACUGCUGUUAUUCUUUACUUUAGAAUAAUUAUUAAUGACGUCACAAACCAAGAGACCUUGGCGGAUUAGGAGAAAAAGUUUUUGGUCAAGAGUGGACCAAUUGUGGAUCGUCUGCAUCGUAUCGAUGCAGAUAUCAAAGAAUUUGUUACAAUGUCUUCCAUGUCCCGAGCUGGAGAUGAGCCACAUCAGCUUAAGAGAGCAUCUGAACUGAGUGCUAGAAUUCUUAGUGAAGCAGUAGACUUGAAAAGGGAGUUAUCUGUCUUCUCAGGUAUUGUUAGUGAUAUCUUUGGGGAUGUCAGAAAGAUCGGCAGUGGCCGUGAUAUUGGUUCAGAGUUCAUGACAAGUAUCAAGAAAUCAUCUGAAUUGUGUCAGGAGACUAUAAGCAAAUUUGAAAAGAUGAGAGAAGAACUUGAAAAAAAUGUCUGAUUUAAAUUAGGAACAAAAUACAAAUGAAUAAUUUGUUGAAAUGAACCAAUUAGUUGCAAUAAAUCAUUAUCAUUACCUGGCAUGAUCUUGGGUAUCAUCCAGAUCGGUGAGAACAACGAUAAUGAGAGAGUAGGGAUUCAGCUAGGCUCAGUCAGGAAACUAUAGAUGACUAGAACAACUACAUGAGAAAAACAAUGUUAGAAAUGGAAGAAAAUUCUGAAAUUGAGUUAGAUUUUGUUUACUCAGCUUAUCAGCCCUCCAUCAUGCAGUGUAUUAUGUUACCCUAAGGAUAGUGUAAAUAAUUCAGCAUAUUAAUGUUUUAAAAAAUCUAUUUUGUAAAAUGUACUGUAUGUGAUGUUAUAUGAGUGACACAUUUCAAGGUAACUUUUAAUUUGACAUUUUUAUUAAAUGUAUUGAAGUGUAUCAAAAUGUACAGUCAGCUUGAACUAACUUUUGUAAAAUAUACAUGACGCGUGAGUGACAAGUGAACUUUUAAAUUAAUUUAUUUUGACAAAAUAUAUGUACAGUUAACUUGAACUAAAGAAAAAUAAAAUAAAU
ensembl:lncRNA